UACGGGGGGGGCAAGCGUUGUUCGGAAUUACUGGGCGUAAAGGGCUCGUAGGUGGCCAACUAAGUCAGACGUGAAAUCCCUCGGCUUAACCGGGGAACUGCGUCUGAUACUGGAUGGCUUGAGAUUGGGAGAGGGAUGCGGAAUUCCAGGUGUAGCGGUGAAAUGCGUAGAUAUCUGGAGGAACACCGGUGGCGAAAGCGACUUCCUGGACCAAUACUGACGCUCAUGUGCGAAAGCGUGGGGAGCAAACAGG
rnacentral:rRNA from 1 species